rnacentral:rRNA from 1 species
GAUGAACGCUGACAGAAUGCUUAACACAUGCAAGUCGACUCGAGUCUUCGGACUUGGGUGGCGCACGGGUGAGUAACGCGUAAAGAACUUGCCUCUUAGACCGGGACAACAUCUGGAAACGGAUGCUAAUACCGGAUAUUAUGGUUUUUUCGCAUGGAGGAAUCAUGAAAGCUAGAUGCGCUAAGAGAGAGCUUUGCGUCCCAUUAGCUGGUUGGUGAGGUAACGGCCCACCAAGGCAAUGAUGGGUAGCCGGCCUGAGAGGGUGAACGGCCACAAGGGGACUGAGACACGGCCCUUACUCCUACGGGAGGCAGCAGUGGGGAAUAUUGGACAAUGGACCGCAAGUCUGAUCCAGCAAUUCUGUGUGCACGAUGACGUUUUUCGGAAUGUAAAGUGCUUUCAGUCGGGAAGAAGUCAGUGACGGUACCGACAGAAGAAGCGACGGCUAAAUACGUGCCAGCAGCCGCGGUAAUACGUAUGUCGCAAGCGUUAUCCGGAUUUAUUGGGCGUAAAGCGCGUCUAGGCGGCAAGGAAAGUCUGAUGUGAAAAUGCGGAGCUCAACUCCGUAUGGCGUUUGGAAACUGCCUUACUAGAGUACUGGAGAGGUAGGCGGAACUACAAGUGUAGAGGUGAAAUUCGUAUUAUUUGUAUGAAUGCCGAUGGGGAAGCCAGCCUACUGGACAGAUACUGACGCUAAUGCUCGAAAGCUUGGGUAUGAAACAGGAUUAUGAUACUCUGGGUGUCCCAGGGCGAAUUCCACAGUGGAUUUCAUGCUUAGCUAUAUCUUUCAACCUCGUGGGGGGAACAAGUAUGCAGCUUUGGUUUCCUUUUUGUGUGGUGUAUUAUUGUGUUCAUUAUUUGUUGUUCCCUGUUGUGUGUGUUCAAUUUUUAUUGUCUUUGUGUGUUGUUCAUUAUUUAUUGUGAUGUUGUGGUGCCAUUUGUGCUAUGUGUGUUGUGUGUAUUGUGUGUUAGUGGUUUGUAUGAGUGUUGUGGUGUUGCAUAAAAAAUAAAUGCGAGAUGAGAUAUGCAUGUCUGCUGCUCUUUGUCUAUGUUUAUGUUAUUCCUUGCUGUGC